rnacentral:misc_RNA from 1 species
GACUGUACAUCUGGGCUUGGGAAUAAACCACCAAUAUUGGGCCUAGUGACAGAUGUUUUCCCAACACCACCUCCUGAACCUUGCACAGUCCAGUCCUUCAUGGACCAACAAUUAGCUGGAGACGGCUCAAAAGGAUGGUUGGUUACAGUGCCUGUAGGACUCCCAUAAAUUAUUUCAUUCUGAAUAUUCUCUUCCUGAGCUUUCAGAGAGAAAUGGCUAUCACUCCCUGACAAUGGUGGGAAAAAGGCAUUCUGUGACCAUGGAUCAUUAUCACUUGAACCACUAACUGGACUAAACACCCCACUAUUCUGGCCAUUGCCAAGAAAAACCUUCUGUGGAGAAUGAGUAC